CCUACGGGAGGCAGCAGUAGGGAAUUUUGCGCAAUGGGGGAAACCCUGACGCAGCAACGCCGCGUGAUUGAUGAAGCUCUUAGGGUUGUAAAGACCUGUUAGUGGGGACGAAAAUUACGGGUACCCACAGAGGAACCAUCGGCUAACGCGGUGCAAGCACCCGCGGUAAUACGGGGGAUGAAAGCGUUAUCCGGAAUCAUUGGGGGGAAAGGGUGCGCAGGUGGCUCUUUAAGCCUGAUGUGAAAUGCAGAGGCUUAACCACAGAACGGCAUUGGAUACGGGGGGGCUAGAGUGGGGGAGAGGUAAGGGGAAUUCCUGGUGUAGGGGUAAAAUGCGUAGAUAUCAAGAGGAAUAUCGAUGGCGAAGGCGAUGUACUGGAACAUUAUUGACGCUGAGGAACGAAAGCCAGGGUAGCAAAUGGGAUUAGAUACCCCUGUAGUC
rnacentral:rRNA from 1 species